UUAGACAUCAGACCCCCUGUUCUUUGUCGAUUUCAUGCAGAUCCUGGACCACUUUGAGCCUUCGCCAUCCAGUCCCUCAGGGAAUUCAUGCUGCUGCAACCCCUCGGUCCAACCAGGAGGAAUCUAUACAGUGUUCCAGUCGACUACAAGCAAAACCCAUCCCCCUGUGAUAUCAACGUUCCCCCCUCAGCAGGAAGUAACUACAAAAGAUAGGACCUUUGUCCCUAUUCCAUAAAACAAAAAGGCUGGAAUGUUA